AAAGUGCUUUGAACAGCGUUUGGCACAUGGAGAAUUAAAUGAGCAAACGGAAGAGCAGCAACCCUGAGUUACAUUUCUCAAGACACCGGGGCUCUUGAUGGCACAGCAGCAGCUUGCUAGAGCUUGGUAAAGAGACUUGGGCCUGGUACCUGAAGGGCAAUUCCUUGGCCAUGACAUUGUAGGGAAAGACCUCUAUGGGUGUUGAAAAGACAAGGCGAGGACAAGAAGAGUUGAAAAGGAGCUGUUCUGAAGCCACCUGGCUGUGGAUGGAGGAAGCCACAUGUAGCUUAGGUAGCCUGCUAUUGUAAUUUUUUCUGCAACUGAAGAAUUCGAAAUGGGUUUGGUGGGUAGCGAAGGGCAGAAUCUGGCUUCAAGGUGACAGAGUUUGCAUAGAGAUGGCCUUCUUGAGCAAAGGUAGUGACUCCUACAUUUUUUUUUUUUGUAGAGUUGUGAUACCCAUGAGUUAGUCAGCUUGGGCUAUCAUAACAAAAUACCACACAUUGGUUGGCUUAAACAACAGAAAUUCAUUUUCCUGUAAUUCUGGAGGCUGGAAGUCCAAGAUCAAGGUGACGACAGAG
rnacentral:lncRNA from 1 species